ensembl:snRNA U6 U6 spliceosomal RNA
AUACUCGCUUUGGGCAGCACAUAUACUAAAAUUGGAACGAUACAGGGAAGAUUAGUAAGGCCCCUGCGCAAGGAUGACACGCAAAUUCAUGAAGCAUUCGAUAUUUUU